UGAGGAACAUGACCUUCGGCGGGGGAUAGCCGGCCCAACGGCCGGGUAAUACCGCGUACGACCUUUCGGGGACAUCCCUGGAUGGUGAAAGCAGCAAUGCGCCGAUGGAGUGCCUCGCGGCCUAUCAGCUUGUUGGUGAGGUAAUGGCUCACCAAGGCGACGACGGGUAGCCGGCCUGAGAGGGUGACCGGCCACACUGGGACUGAGACACGGCCCAGACUCCUACGGGAGGCAGCAGG
rnacentral:rRNA from 1 species